CCUACGGGUGGCAGCAGUGGGGGAUAUUGCACAAUGGGGGAAACCCUGAUGCAGCGACGCCGCGUGAGUGAAGAAGUUUUUCGGUAUGUAAAGCCCUAUCAGCAGGGAAGAAAGAACACUGUACCUGACUAAGAAGCCCCGGCUAACUACGGGCCAGCAGCCGCGGCAAUACGUAGGGGGCGAGCGUUAAGCGUAUUCACUGGGUGUAAGGGGGGCGUAAUCGGGAGUGCAAGCCAGGAGUGAAAGCCCGGGGCCCAACCCCGGUACUGCUCUUGAAACUGGGCGGCUGGAGUGCGGGAGAGGAUAGCGGAAUUCCUGGUGUAGGGGUGAAAUGCGUAGAUAUCAGGAGGAACACCGGCGGCGAAGGCGGCCUGCUGGACCGCAACUGACGUUGAGGAGCGAAAGCGUGGGGAGCGAACAGGAUUAGAUACCCCAGUAGUC
rnacentral:rRNA from 1 species